UACGUAGGGGGCAAGCGUUGUCCGGAUUUAUUGGGCGUAAAGAGCGUGUAGGCGGUCUGGUAGGUCCGUUGUGAAAACUCGAGGCUCAACCUCGAGACGCCGAUGGAAACCCUCAGACUAGAGUCCGGAAGAGGAGAGUGGAAUUCCUGGUGUAGCGGUGAAAUGCGCAGAUAUCAGGAAGAACACCCGUGGCGAAGGCGGCUCUCUGGGACGGUACUGACGCUGAGACGCGAAAGCGUGGGGAGCGAACAGG
rnacentral:rRNA from 1 species